CCUGAGGCAGGGCCUCCUCAAGCUGAUGCCACAAGGAAGCAAAGAAGUUGAAGAAUCUGUCCUGGGGGACCACAGCAGUACUGUAGCAGGACUCCCAAGUUCUUCAGCUUUGGGACUCGGACUGGUUUCCUUGCUCCUCAGCUUGCAGACAACCUAUUGGACCUUGUGAUCGGAGAUGAGAGAACUCAACAAGGCGUGGCAGGCAAUGCCUUUCCGCAG